GCGCUCCCCUCUCUGAUUGGUGGGAAGCCUUGCCGGCGGGAGGCGUACAUUGGAGUUGCCAUGGCAGUGUGGGACGCUGCACGGCCGGAGCGGAGGGAUCCGGGGGCGGAGGGAUUCCGCCGCGCUUCCGCCCCGUCUGUCUUUGGGAGCAGAUCAGGGCUGCUGCAGCGUUGUCCCCACAGGUUUCUGUGCCCUUUCCCCGCGGGAAGCCGGGUCCCUGUCCCCACGGGCGGCACCUCCUCAUCCCGAGAGGCUGUGGGUGAUGGACUAAUCCAGCCAUGGGUAGUGUGAAUAGCUCAGAAGGUCCCUGGCUACAGAGAUUUGCAAAUGGGAAACCUGUGAGAAAACCCAAGCAGCAGGAGCCUUGGAGGGCAGCACCUGAUCAAAACCGAGACAUCAUUGCUUCUGCUCAGUGCAUCUUGGACAGAGAAAAUUUUGUGAGGGAGGUGAACAGAUACUUGAAGCACAGUGAUUUCCUAGAUCUGAGAAAGACAGAGCUUCUGUACAAAAAAUAUCUUAAGAAUGUUUCAGAGCCACUUAUGCAGAAAAUGAAGGACCAAAUUGACAGCCAGUCAGAGAAAGAAGUGUGGAAAAGGAGACAAGAACAAUUCUCUCAAUAUUUAAACUACUGUACAAAGAAGGGCUAUGUGUUUUUGGAUGAUUGUGACCCAUCAGAGUAUGAUCCAUUCUUCCAGAAGACGUGCACAGACUGCUGGAAGCUCCUUUUGAAGCAGUCUGACUGCAUUUAGAUGUUCUGAAUGCAAGCAUCCAUAGGAAAUAAUCAGGAAGGACAGAAUAUUGACUGUAAACCCUGCAAACUUCCUGGGGAAAGAAUGACAGAAUAAUGAAAAGGAAAACGUAAGACUGCAGGAACAGCAAAACACAGUAGAGACCAGCAGGAAGAGAACUCUGCUUAUGGGUUUUCAGAAAUAUAUUCAUGCUCGAGCAGAAGUCUUAAUAACAGAACAUAGGCCUAUGCUCAACCUGAAUUACCACCUUAAGUUCUUAUUUUAGAACUUUUGUAUCAACAGCUGAACAUUUGCACUGUGUGUUUUGGACAAGCACUCAAAGUGCUGCUCAGAAACUCCUCACAAACUGAACUAUAUUUACAAGUCAUUAAGUAGAACCAGACUGUAGCAUUAGUUGGCAUUUUUCAUGCUG